GGUUUGAUUAUGGCUCAGAUUGAACGCUGGCGGGAUGCUUUACACAUGCAAGUCGAACGGCAGCACGGACUUGGUCUGGUGGCGAGUGGCGAACGGGUGAGUAAUGUAUCGGAACGUGCCUAGUAGCGGGGAUAACUGCGCGAAAGCGUAGCUAAUACCGCAUACGCCCUUCGGGGAAAGCGGGGGACCUUCGGGCCUCGCACUAUUAGAGCGGCCGAUAUCGGAUUAGCUAGUUGGUGGGGUAACGGCUCACCAAUGACGAUCCGUAGCUGGUUUGAGGACGACCAGCCACACUGGGACCGAGACACGUCCAGACUCCUACGGAGGCAGCAGUGGGGAAUUUUGGACAAUGGGGAAACCCUGAUCCAGCCAUCCCGCGUGUGCGAUGAAGGCCUUCGCUGUAAGCACUUUUGGCAGGAAAAGAAACGGCACGGGAUAAUACCCCGUGCAACUGACGGUACCCGCAGAAUAAGCACCGGCUAACUACGUGCCAGCAGCCGCGGUAAAUACGUAGGGUGCAAGCGUUAAUCGGAAUUACUGGGCGUAGUGCGCAGGCGGUUCGGAAAGAAAGAUGUGAAAUCCCAGAGCUUAACUUUGGAACUGCAUUUUAACUGGCCGAGCUAGAGUGUGUCAGAGGGAGGUGGAAUUCCGCGUGUAGCAGUGAAAUGCGUAGAUAUGCGGAGGAACACCGAUGGCGAAGGCAGCCUCCUGGGAUAACACUGACGCUCAUGCACGAAAGCGUGGGGAGCAAACAGGAUUAGAUACUCCUGGUAGUCCACGCUCCUAACGAUGUCAACUAGCUGUUGGGGCCUCGCCUGGUAGCGCAGCUAACGCGUGAAGUUGACCGCCCGGGGAGUACGGUCGCAAGAUUAAAACUCAAAGGAAUUGACGGGGACCCGCACAAGCGGUGGAUGAUGUGGAUUAAUUCGAUGCAACGCGAAAACCUUACCUACCCUUGACAUGUCUGGAAUCCCGAAGAGAUUUGGGAGUGCUCGCAAGAGAACCGGAACACAGGUGCUGCAUGGCUGUCGUCAGCUCGUGUCGAGAUGUUGGGUUAAGUCCCGCAACGAGCGCAACCCUUGUCAUUAGUUGCUACGAAAGGGCACUCCCUUAAUGAGACUGCCGGUGACAAACCGGAGGAAGGCUGGUGGGGAUGACGUCAAGCUCAUGGCCCUUAUGGGUAGGGCUUCACACGUCAUACAAUGGUCGUGACAGAGGGUCGCCAACCCGCGAGGGGGAGCCAAUCCAGAAACCCGAUCGUAGUCCGAUCGCAGUCUGCAACUCGACUGCGUGAAGUCGGAAUCGCUAGUAAUCGCGGAUCAGCAUGUCGCGGUGAAUACGUUCCCGGGUCUUGUACACACCGCCCGUCACACCAUGGGAGUGGGUUUUACCAGAAGUAGUUAGCCUAACCGUAAGGAGGGCGAUUACCACGGUAGGAUUCAUGACUGGGGUGAAGUCGUAACAAGGUAG
rnacentral:rRNA from 1 species